UCACCUGUGUGACUGGAAGGAGUGGAGCCAGGCUCCACCCCUCCUUGACCCCAUUUAAGGGCUGACUGCCACUAGGGAAGGAUCUCUUUCUGAAGGUCCCUCUUUUUUGGAGUUUUCCACUGUGAGCCUACAUCCUUGGACACAGUCAAAGGGAUGUUGGGGCUCAGCACAGUGAGCUACCAUUUUCCAGCUGGACUUCUCAGCAACAUCUUCUGCACCCUAUGAACAAGGACCCCUUAUGAAGGCCUCCCGAGCUCUUUUAUUUACAUACCCUGGACACAGAGGCAAUUACAGAAGGACCAAGAUGUCGACACAGUCCUGCUAGGUCUCUAACAGACACAAGGCUCUCAAGCAUUCAUGGAUUAUACUUUCUGCAAUCCUUUCCUUCCCUGAAGGUUUCUCAAGACCUGCCACCUUCUUUUCCGUAUGGAGAACUUGACAUGUAUCUACACUACAGUUCUUAUUUUGUAAGAGUAUAAGAAUGCAUUUUGUAAGAAUAAAAUUUAUUUCAUUUCAGUAAA